CUUCAUUUCCACUGAGGGAAAUGGUUUCAGCUUACAAAAAUAGACAAGAGGUCUGCGUCACUGUGACAUGUAGUUACGUAGGGUGACAUUAAUCAUGGUGGUGUCGCAUCUGAUACAGUUUUAUUUUUCGCUGCUUAAAAUUUUUUUAACUGUUUUAAAGGCAAUGACCAAUAAUUUUAUUUCGUGUUUGGGACAUCAUCAGGCCAUCAAGUGUUAUAUGUAAAAACUAAGACAUGUUAAAAUGAAAACAGUCAGUAGCUGUACGCACUUCUGUAUCUACUGCUGCCAUUCACUGUCUCAAAUGGUAACAUAUGAACACACUUUCCUGCAUCAUGUAGUUUUAACCCAGUCCAGUCAGAACGAAUCAAGCAGCCAGUUUCCUCCACUACACACAUGUUUAUACAUAUACAUGUGUUUGCACAUGUAUCUCACUAUCUCAGCCUGUGUGAGCCGCGUCAUCGUCCUGUCAGUCCCCAGCAGAGUAAUGAGCUGUAAUGCACUUCUCGAGCUUCCUGCCCAGUUUUCCCUUACCCCCCCUCCCUCGCUCAAUUUCCCAGAGGGAAGUGUCCUCUGCGGCUAUUCGAGUGGUCAGAGCAGAUCGUAUCUCUGUGGUUGACUCUAUUAGAAGAUGAUUUUACAGGCAGAGUAGAGCUCCCUUCAGCCGUCAGAGGCGAAAAAGAGUUUAAAGGAGCGGACGGAGAAAGAACUUGUAACAUUAGUCAUCUGAGAUAAAGAGUGGCAAUAAGGGACACAUGAAGUGAAAAGGAAGAUGUGAGGAAAGAUAAUGAGGCAGGAAAUGCUCAUUUUCAUUUUCACCAGUACGUUCACUCAUGAAAACUGACAAGGAAAGGGACAUUGUAGGGAGUGAGGAAAUUAGUGGAGAGGAUGGACACUGGGUUUGAGGGUAUAAAGCUAGAAUGGAGAGGACAGCGGUGACUUGAGAAGGAUAAUGUUUGACAAAAAAUGGCAUUGAUAGUGGAGAAUGAAAAUGAAUUGGUAAAAUAGGCACGCAUGAGUAUAUAACAAGAGGGAAAUCAGUGAUGCAAGAAGAGUAAAGGGCACAGGUGUGACAGAGAGGAAAACAGGAGUCUAAGCAUGUUGUUUUCAUGUUGUUUGCUUUAUGUGGCCCUGUUUUUUCUGCCCAAUGAAGUGGCAUAUCGUUUUUUAAAACUACAGGGUAAAGCUUAAAACUACAAAUUCAAAACCAGGACGACAAUGUGUUUGUGGUCCUUGUUUGGUCAGUUGAGGCUCAGGUGUCCACUGUUCACCGCCACCUACAGUUUACCCCAACCAACUCCUUCAUGGUCCAAUCAGCAGCCAGUUUCUGUGGAAGCAUGGACUUACAGUAUCAACCAAUUCAGUACCAUCAAUGUGAUUCUACCUAGUGACCCCAAGCUUUUGGAUUCAGCCGUCUUCAUGAAGAAGAAAGCAUGAGCAUCUGUUAUUGUGGACAAGACGAUGUACAACACCCUCCAAACACAUACCAGGGUGUCAUUUUUUUCCAUCUUACACCAUCAUCUCCUGCCUGUGCAGUCACAUGGAAGUGAAGGAUAACAUCUCUGCCCUGCCAGAUGCUGUUAGCACCCCAGCAACCCCAGCCACUCAACCACCCAGAGAGAUGCCCAUCAUUGAUCUCCACAGAUAAAACACUGGAAACAACGAAUUUGCGAAGUGACACCACACAGGUCUGUCCUCCACAUAUCAAACUGAGACACCACAUCAUGGCACUGACUUUUUUCUGAUCCACCUCUCCUGGAAUACAAGAAAAAAGUGCACAUGAAGAUAUGUGUGUCGGGAUGAACAUGCUCUACAUCACCAUACAGAAUGGAUCUGCAUGAAGGAUAACUCUAUCCUGUGGAGGAUGUACAAAAACUGCAGAGUGAUGAACAUGAGGAUCUUUGCUGGAUGAGAAGACAGGUUAUAUAUGGCCAAAGGUUCACACCGCACUCUUAUUUAUCAGCCCUGAUGAUAAGGAACAGUUUGAAGAUUCUGUCCCUCCCCAAAUAUCCACUACGAGGGUGAUACUGAGUUACAUAUUUGGCCAUAUUUUAUGUAUAUUUUGAUCUCAGCUAUGAGGAUAUUUGGGGAAUAAAGUUGUAGAGAAUGUCAAAUUACAUGAAUUCACAUAAAAUGGCGGCAUUGGUUUUCUUGUGAGGACAAUAUGCGACUGACAGGAAGAUACUGUUGUAUAGAUAAGCCAUCCAAACUGUGAUGCAACCUGACACUUCUCCUAAAACUGAAAAAGAAACAGUAAAACCACGCGAGGACUGAAAGAUGUACAUGUACUUAUGAUAUACGACGGCUUAACAGUGACAGCAAUGUUCAUCAAUGUGUUACAAAGCACAUACAUAUUGAGCAUACUCUUGACAUCAGAGAGACGGAGAUGAUGAAACAGAUGCUGGCAUGAAAUAGAUCACAAUACAUAAAAGAAACGGAGCAGUAUGACUGUAAACAUUAGCGGCACUGUACAGUUAUCAGGAGGACAACAGGAGCUGACUCAAUGUUAAAUACUAACAUGCUACCACUGUAGCAUUUUGUGUACCUCGCUCACUUAACACGCAUGGCUACCAGCAGAUUUCUCUCUUUCCCAUUACUGUCCUCCUUGAUGGAGUAAAGUGUUUGCCUCUUUACAAAUACCUGUCAGUCAUUUGCACUUAAGUUAAACAACUUAUAUUUAAGAAGUGGAAGAAGAUGAUUUUUUCACUCUGUUGUCAUAUACACACAGACCCAAACUACACACACAUGCACCAACAGGACAUGCAUUAAAUGGAGAGAUGUCAGAGCGAGGGGGCUGCCCUUGGACAGGCGCUCCAAGCAGUUUGGGGAUCAGCGCCUUGCUUAAGGGCACCUUGGUAGUGCCCAGGAAGCGAGCUAGCACCUCUCCAGCUGCCACACCACACUCCAUGUUUGAUCCAGAUGGGGGCUUGAACCGGUGACCCUUCGGUGCCCUAUGGACUGAGUUUAUGCCGCCGCAGUUCAUAGAUUUGUUAGUUAAUUUAUGAUUGUUUGUAGGGGUUUGGCUUUACAUUGGAUUCUUGAUUCCCACAAUUUGUUUGUUUUUAAUCUCAGUUUUAAGUUUUAUUUGAAGAAUUCCUCUCUUUGUACAUCUGAAAUCAUGCCAUGAGUCACAGUUCCCCAUCUUUAAAGGACGUUUUGUAAAGGUGGACCUUUCUACUGUAAUAUAACUUCAUUAAAUUAUUAAGAAUGUAA